GUCUGAUUAGCUAGUUGGUGAGGUAAAGGCUUACCAAGGCUNCGAUCAGUAGCUGGUCUGAGAGGACGACCAGCCACACUGGGACUGAGACACGGCCCAGACUCCUACGGGAGGCAGCAGUGGGGAAUUUUGGACAAUGGGGGAAACCCUGAUCCAGCCAUGCCGCGUGAGUGAAGAAGGCCUUCGGGUUGUAAAGCUCUUUCAGCCGGAACGAAAAGGUUACGGUUAAUACCNGUGACUAAUGACGGUACCGGAAGAAGAAGCACCGGCUAACUACGUGCCAGCAGCCGCGGUAAUACGUAGGGUGCGAGCGUUAAUCGGAAUUACUGGGCGUAAAGCGUGCGCAGGCGGUUUUGUAAGUCAGAUGUGAAU
rnacentral:rRNA from 1 species